rnacentral:tRNA from 3 species
GACGGCGUAGCCAAGUGGAAAGGCAAGGGUCUGCAAAAUCCUAAAGCGCGGGUUCGAUUCCUGCCGCCGUCU